rnacentral:rRNA from 1 species
CCCUUAGAUGUUCUGGGCUGCACGCGCGCUACACUGAUGCGCUCAACGAGUUUACGACCUUGCCCGGAAGGGUUGGGUAAUCUUUUUAAAACGCAUCGUGAUGGGGAUAGAUUAUUGCAAUUAUUAAUCUUUAACGAGGAAUUCCUAGUAAACGUAGAUCAUCAAUCUGCAUUGAUUACGUCCCUGCCCUUUGUACACACCGCCCGUCGCACCUACCGAUUGAAUGGUCCGGUGAAGCCUCGAGAUUGUGGCCAGCUCGCUUUAUUGGGAGUUGGUUGCGAGAACUUGUCUAAACCUUAUCAUUUAGAGGAAGGUGAAGUCGUAACA